GAGGGGCAGCAUGAACUUAGCUUGCUAAGUUUGAUGGCGACCGGCGCACGGGUGAGUAACACGUAUCCAACCUGCCGAUGACUCGGGGAUAGCCUUUCGAAAGAAAGAUUAAUACCCGAUGGCAUAGUUCUUCCGCAUGGUGGAACUAUUAAAGAAUUUCGGUCAUCGAUGGGGAUGCGUUCCAUUAGGUUGUUGGCGGGGUAACGGCCCACCAAGCCUUCGAUGGAUAGGGGUUCUAAGAGGAAGGUCCCCCACAUUGGAACUGAGACACGGUCCAAACUCCUACGGGAGGCAGCAGUGAGGAAUAUUGGUCAAUGGACGAGAGUCUGAACCAGCCAAGUAGCGUGAAGGAUGACUGCCCUAUGGGUUGUAAACUUCUUUUAUACGGGAAUAAAGUGAGGCACGCGUGCCUUUUUGUAUGUACCGUAUGAAUAAGGAUCGGCUAACUCCGUGCCAGCAGCCGCGGUAAUACGGAGGAUCCGAGCGUUAUCCGGAUUUAUUGGGUUUAAAGGGAGCGUAGGCGGACGCUUAAGUCAGUUGUGAAAGUUUGCGGCUCAACCGUAAAAUUGCAGUUGAUACUGGGUGUCUUGAGUACAGUAGAGGCAGCGGAAUUCGUGGUGUAGCGGUGAAAUGCUUAGAUAUCACGAAGAACUCCGAUUGCGAAGGCAGCUUGCUGGACUGUACUGACGCUGAUGCUCG
rnacentral:rRNA from 1 species